AUAACUUCUCGAAAGGGGAGCUAAGACCGAAUAGGGUCCUCGAGGCUUUGGCCGCGGGGGGAAAGCGGGCCUCUUCGAAGCUCGCGGUCCGGGAUGAGCUUGCGGCCCAUUAGCUAGUUGGUGGGGUAAGGGCCUACCAAGGCGACGAUGGGUAGCUGGUCUGAGAGGAUGAUCAGCCACACUGGCACUGAGACACGGGCCAGACUCCUACGGGAGGCAGCAGUGGGGAAUUUUGCGCAAUGGGCGAAAGCCUGACGCAGUAACGCCGCGUGGAGGAUGACGGCUUUCGGGUUGUAAACUCCUGUCAGGGGCAACGACGGGUAGGGGGCAAAGAGUCCNUUGCCCAGACGGUACCCCCAAAGGAAGCCCCGGCUA
rnacentral:rRNA from 1 species